UACGUAGGGUCCGAGCGUUGUCCGGAAUUAUUGGGCGUAAAGAGCUCGUAGGCGGUCUGUUGCGUCGGUUGUGAAAACCCGGGGCUUAACCCCUGGCUUGCAGUGGAUACGGACAGACUAGAGGUAGGUAGGGGAGAAUGGAAUUCCCGGCGUAGCGGUGAAAUGCGCAGAUAUCGGGAGGAACACCGGUGGCGAAGGCGGUUCUCUGGGCCUUACCUGACGCUGAGGAGCGAAAGCGUGGGGAGCGAACAGG
rnacentral:rRNA from 1 species